rnacentral:rRNA from 1 species
AUUGAACGCUGGCGGCAUGCCUUACACAUGCAAGUCGAACGGCAGCGGGGACUUCGGUCCGCCGGCGAGUGGCGAACGGGUGAGUAAUGUAUCGGAACGUACCAUUGAGUGGGGGAUAACUAUCCGAAAGGAUAGCUAAUACCGCAUAUUCUCUCCGGAGGAAAGCAGGGGACCGCAAGGCCUUGCGCUCAUUGAGCGGCCGAUAUCAGAUUAGCUAGUUGGUGAGGUAAAGGCUCACCAAGGCGACGAUCUGUAGCGGGUCUGAGAGGAUGAUCCGCCACACUGGAACUGAGACACGGUCCAGACUCCUACGGGAGGCAGCAGUGGGGAAUUUUGGACAAUGGGGGCAACCCUGAUCCAGCCAUGCCGCGUGAGUGAAGAAGGCCUUCGGGUUGUAAAGCUCUUUCGGCCGGGAAAAAAUCGCAUGGGUUAAUACCCUGUGUGGAUGAUGGUACCGGAAUAAGAAGCACCGGCUAACUACGUGCCAGCAGCCGCCGUAAAAC